AGGACAAGCUGCAGUGUGCAGACAUCUACGAACUGUGACAACUCUUUGGAAACACUGAAUUCUGCCCACCAAGCUACAGGCGCUGUGCAAAUGAGAAUCAAAAAUGCCAACAGCCACCCAGACAGGCAGAGCCAAACUAAAUCCAUGAUCCUCACCGACGCUGGGAAGGUCACUGAACCUAUGGUCGAAAAAGAAGGGUAUCUUCAAAAAGCCAAAAUUGCAGAUGGAGGAAAGAAACUAAGGAAAAACUGGUCUACUUCCUGGAUUGUUCUCUCUGGCCGAAAACUUGAAUUUUACAAAGACCCCAAGCAGCAAGCUCUCCCUAACGUGAAACCCAGGCCAAAUGCAGAAAGCGUGGAUUUGUGUGGAGCACACAUAGAAUGGGCGGCCAAAGACAAAUCAAGCAAAAAGAGUGUCUUUCAGGUAAGAACGUCA
rnacentral:lncRNA from 1 species